rnacentral:lncRNA from 1 species
UAGGUUAAGUUGUUGAUUUGAGAUUUUUCUUCUUUUCUGAGGAAGGCCUGUAUCACUAUGAACUUCCCUCUAAGCACUGAUUUUGUGGCAUCCCAUAGAUUUCAAAUGGUUGUGUUUUCAUUAUCAUUUGUAUCAAGGUAUUUUUUAAUUUUCUUUGUGAUUUCCUCAUUGACCCAUUAGUUUUUUAAGUAGCAUGUAAUUAGUUUUCUCUCAUUUCUUUUCCUGUGGUUGAUUUCUAGUUUCAUGCCGUUGUGGUCAGAGAAGAUACUUGAAAUAAUUUCUAUACUCUUAAAUUUGCUAGGGUUAGUUUUGUUCCCCAGUAUGUGGUCAAUCCUUGAGAAUGUACUGUGUGCACUUGAGAAGAAUGUAUAUUCUUAUUUUUUUGAAUGUAAUGUCCUGAAAAUGUCAAUUAAGUCUAACUUUUCUACUGUGCCAUUUAGGAUCUCUGUUGCCUUAUUCAUUUUCUGUUUAGAGGAUCUGUCCAUUGAUCAAUAUGUUUUCUCCAGGAGGGCGUAGGUGGUUGCCAAGAUAUUGUUUUAGACUACAGUAAGCUGGGAUAAGAUCUUUCCAACUCAUCCAAAAUAUUUAACCCAAAAGAGCUGUUCCAAAGAACUGCAAUGACCAAAUCCACUCUGAACAAAUGACAGGGAGUGGUGCAGUGUAGAUAGAUCACAAGCUAGUUCUUCCUGGGAAAAUCAUCGAGAGUUAAAAUGAAAGGAAGUAAACCAUGUCACAACUUGCAUACACUGUCAUCAGAGUUUCCAAGUAAGAGACACGUGGCUUCCAGACAACCAAGUGAGAUGAGACUGAGGCUUUCAGCAGAUGACCUGAACGAUUUCUCUGAAGGGCUUCACACCCACACUCUUUUGAAUGCUUUAUUUAAAAAAGUUAGUGGCAAAAUGCUUUUGGAAUUUAAACAACAACAAACCUCUCAACAUUUGCUACUGUCAAGUUAUAUUUUAAGUAAUUAUAAAAAGACUUAAUACCUGCAUAUUUGAUAAUGGUAAAUAGCAGCAGAAAUUACAUUACAUUAUUUUUCAUUGGUGGAAUUAUUCUGAACUAAUUUUUGCAGAGAGGAACAGUAAUGAGGAAAGAGAAGACCUAUAUACAUAGUUAUACAAGGAUGAAGAUUUUGAAUUCAUAAACUGUCACUUUUUAAAAAAAAUUUUUACAGCCACAUCUGCUGCAUAUAAAGGUACCCAGGCUAGGGGCUGAAUUGGAGCUGUAGCUGAGGCCUACAUCAUAGACACAGCAACACCAGAUCCGAGAUAUGACUUAUGCCAUAGCUUGAGGCAAAGCAGAAUCCUUAACCCACCGAGUAAGGCCAGGGAUCAAACCUAUAUCCUCACAGAGACAACAUUGGGUCCUUAACCUGCUGAGCCACAAUGGAACUCCUGAAUUGUGACAUUUGAACACACUCCUUCUCUAACUUCUCUAUUAAAAUAGUAGUGCAGUACAGUAGUGCAUGUUCUCAGUAGAAAAAAGAGCAGGUAAAUUAAAUAUGCAAACACAUGAAAUAGGGAAAUAUAAUGGAAGUUCAAAAUCUUGCCAUCCAAAAAGACUGUCGGACAGAAUCCAUAAAUAUAACUGCUGCUUGUUUAAGCCAUAUGUGUGCUGACAUCACAGAUCUGGUCAUCAAAAUUUGAUUCUGAAAUCAUAUUAUGCCAGCUAUUUAGCUACCUUCACAAUACACCCUGCCCUCAAUAAAUUCACUAUUUUCUCAUUUGUAAUCUAGAAAAGGCUCCAAAAAACAGUGAGGCUCAUUGGAAUAUAGACCUUUUGCCCCACACAUGCAACUGAGAAAUUCAACUAUAUUUUAUGGAAAUGUAUUUAAAACAUAUAUUUUCAAAUGCAGAGUCUUUUCUGUUCAUCCCAUGUUUGUUAUCCAUAUAUUAAAUUAAUGGUUACCUGGGCUUACCUCAACUUUCUCUAUCUGCCUAACCCCAGGUACCCAUCUUCAAUAUUCAGCUUAGGUUAUAAACCCUUUGGAUAAUUCUUUUUUAAUACCCCCAGUUUGAUUAACUGCACCUUCUACUUAUCUUAAGGUAACACUCCAGUCUGUAUGGUGCUUACAAUUUACUCUCCUGCUUCCACCCUAGAGCACAUGUUUACGCAGGACAGUGAGCAAUUUCUAAUAUGGAUCACUUUCUCCCUAGUACCAAAGAGUAAUCCUGGCACACGGAGAGGCUCUCAAAAUAUAUAGAUGUAUGUAUUUUGAUGACCAUAAAGUUGGGUGUUAUCAUAUGUACUAAGGCUAUUUUUUUUAAGAUUAAUAACAUUAAAAAUGAUUUUGCAUGCUGAAAGUCAGAACCAAAAAAUCAUGUGACAUCAUUUUCAGAAACCUUAGAAAUACCUUGUAAGGUAUUUUUUUAUACCAAAGGGGGGAAAAAAGCCAUAGCGUGAACUCAUGUUUUUAGAAAGAAAAGAUUUGCCGUGAGUACCCAGAAGGAAGGUGUGCUUUGAAUGGCUGUUUUAACCCAUGACCUGAGCAGGAUUUUGCAUGAAAAGAGUAAGUGCCUGAUUAGAUGAUAUUAGUCUGAGCAAAAUAUUCCCUGUGGGUAGGUUUAAAUCUGAAUACUGAAAAAUCUGCUAUUUUAUUUUCUCAUAAACAGAGCUUGUGGAAAAUAAUUUUUAGAGAAAAAUAUGCUAAAGCAGGAUAUAGAAUUAUGCCACUGGUGAUUUGAAGAGGCAGUACUACUCACUGAAAACAGGUCAGUCUUAGAGACAAACCAUUCUGGAUUCAAAUUCCAGCUCGAUUCUUUAAUGGCUUGAACUUAUAAAAGGUAUUAAAUUCUUAAAUUUUUUUUUAAU